rnacentral:lncRNA from 1 species
AAAUAUCUAAAAGAGGGAGCAGUUGCUUUCCUUUUUAGGAGCAUAUUCAUCUGUCAACAAUUCAACAUACAAGCAACAACUGCAGGAGAUGUACCACAUUUCUCAUAUUCGAUAGUUAAAAUUGUGUCGGAGGCAAAUCAGAUCGCGUAUAUUUCUAACAAUGUAUCACCUUAAUUACACAUAAAGAUAUGACCGUAUCAGCAAUUGAAGAAAUCUAUUAUCUAUAUUGACCCUAACCGAAGAAUGGACAUGAAUUUGACCAUCACGUCCAAUGGUCCAAGCAAUUGAAGAAAUCUAUUAUCUAUAUUGUUCUAGUACCAGAAACCCAACAACGACAGCAAAUGACCACUACCUUCCAACAGUAUGCGACUAACACCAAAAUCAUCUGCAAAUUAACACAUACUUUCAAAGCAACAACCCACUCUGAAACUAGCUAACAAGUUACUCCCUCGGUAAAAAAAAAUAUAAGAGCAUUUAGAUCACUAUAAAAUAGUGAUCUAAACAUUUUUAUAUUUGUUUACAGAN